GAUGAACGCUGGCGGCGUGCCUAAUACAUGCAAGUCGAGCGAAUGGAUUAAGAGCUUGCUCUUAUGAAGUUAGCGGCGGACGGGUGAGUAACACGUGGGUAACCUGCCCAUAAGACUGGGAUAACUCCGGGAAACCGGGGCUAAUACCGGAUAACAUUUUGAACCGCAUGGUUCGAAAUUGAAAGGCGGCUUCGGCUGUCACUUAUGGAUGGACCCGCGUCGCAUUAGCUAGUUGGUGAGGUAACGGCUCACCAAGGCAACGAUGCGUAGCCGACCUGGGAGGGUGAUCGGCCACACUGGGACUGAGACACGGCCCAGACUCCUACGUGAGGCAGCAGUAGGGUAUCUUCCGCAAUGGACGAAAGUCUGACGGAGCAACGCCGCGUGAGUGAUGAAGGCUUUCGGGUCGUAAAACUCUGUUGUUAGGGAAGAACAAGUGCUAGUUGAAUAAGCUGGCACCUUGACGGUACCUAACCAGAAAGCCACGGCUAACUACGUGCCAGCAGCCGCCGUAA
rnacentral:rRNA from 1 species